rnacentral:tRNA from 1 species
CGGUGUAGCUCAGUUGGUAGAGCAGCUGAUUUGUAAUCAGCGGGUCGUAGGUUCAAGUCCUAUCUCCG